rnacentral:rRNA from 1 species
GACGAACGCUGGCGGCGUGCCUAAUACAUGCAAGUAGAACGCUGAAGAGAGGAGCUUGCUCUUCUUGGAAGAGUUGCGAACGGGUGAGUAACGCGUAGGUAACCUGCCUUGUAGCGGGGGAUAACUAUUGGAAACGAUAGCUAAUACCGCAUAACAAUGGGUGACCCAUGUCAUUCAUUUGAAAGGGGCAACUGCUCCACUACAAGAUGGACCUGCGUUGUAUUAGCUAGUAGGUGAGGUAACGGCUCACCUAGGCGACGAUACAUAGCCGACCUGAGAGGGUGAUCGGCCACACUGGGACUGAGACACGGCCCAGACUCCUACGGGAGGCAGCAGUAGGGAAUCUUCGGCAAUGGGGGCAACCCUGACCGAGCAACGCCGCGUGAGUGAAGAAGGUUUUCGGAUCGUAAAGCUCUGUUGUAAGUCAAGAACGAGUGUGAGAGUGGAAAGUUCACACUGUGACGGUAGCUUACCAGAAAGGGACGGCUAACUACGUGCCAGCAGCCGCGGUAAUACGUAGGUCCCGAGCGUUGUCCGGAUUUAUUGGGCGUAAAGCGAGCGCAGGCGGUUUGAUAAGUCUGAAGUUAAAGGCUGUGGCUCAACCAUAGUUCGCUUUGGAAACUGUCAAACUUGAGUGCAGAAGGGGAGAGUGGAAUUCCAUGUGUAGCGGUGAAAUGCGUAGAUAUAUGGAGGAACACCGGUGGCGAAAGCGGCUCUCUGGUCUGUAACUGACGCUGAGGCUCGAAAGCGUGGGGAGCGAACAGG